rnacentral:rRNA from 1 species
AACGAACGCUGGCGGCGUGCUUAACACAUGCAAGUCGAACGCGAAAGGGACUUCGGUCCUGAGUAGAGUGGCGCACGGGUGAGUAACGCGUAAGUGAUCUACCCCUGUAUUUGGGAUAACUGUGGGAAACUGCAGCUAAUACCGGAUACGUUCAUGUUCUUGCGAGUAUAUGAAGAAAGAUGGCCUCUGAUUCAAGCUAUUGUACAGGGAGGAGCUUGCGUACCAUUAGCUAGUUGGUAGGGUAAUGGCCUACCAAGGCAACGAUGGUUAGCGGGUCUGAGAGGAUGAUCCGCCACACUGGAACUGAAACACGGACCAGACUCCUACGGGAGGCAGCAGUGAGGAAUAUUGCGCAAUGGGGGCAACCCUGACGCAGCGACGCCGCGUGGAUGAUGAAGGCCUUCGGGUCGUAAAAUCCUGUCGGAUGGAAAGAAGUGCAUUGUGGUUAAUACCCAUGAUGUUUGACGGUACCUUCAAAGGAAGCACCGGCUAACUCCGUGCCAGUCGCCGCGGUAA